AUUGAACGCUGGCGGCAUGCCUUACACAUGCAAGUCGAACGGCAGCAUGGAGGGCUUGCUCUCUGAUGGCGAGUGGCGAACGGGUGAGUAAUGCAACGGAACGUACCGUGUAAUGGGGGAUAACGUAGCGAAAGUUACGCUAAUACCGCAUACGACCUGAGGGUGAAAGCAGGGGAUCGCAAGACCUUGCGUUAUACGAGCGGCCGAUGUCAGUUUAGCUAGGUGGUGAGGUAAAGGCUCACCAAGGCGACGAUCUGUAGCGGGUCUGAGAGGAUGAUGCUGCACGCUGGGACUGAGACACGGCCCAGACUCCGACGGGAGGCAGCAGUGGGGAAUUUUGGACAAUGGGGGCAACCCUGAUCCAGCCAUGCCGCGUGAGUGAGUAGGGCCUUCGGGUUGUAAAGCUCUUUCGGCCGGGAAGAAAUCGCACAGGCUAAUACUCUGUGUGGAUGACGGUACCGGCAUAAGAAGCACCGGCUAACUACGUGCCAGCCGCCGCCGUAA
rnacentral:rRNA from 1 species